rnacentral:rRNA from 1 species
CGGAGGGUGCAAGCGUUAUCCGGAUUCACUGGGUUUAAAGGGUGCGUAGGUGGGCUAGUAAGUCCGUGGUGAAAUCCCUGAGCUUAACUUGGGAACUGCCAUUGAUACUAUUAGUCUUGAAUAUCGUGGAGGUAAGCGGAAUAUGUCAUGUAGCGGUGAAAUGCUUAGAUAUGACAUAGAACACCAAUUGCGAAGGCAGCUUGCUACACGGUCAUUGACACUGAGGCGCGAAAGCGUGGGGAGCAAACAGGAUUAGAUACCCUGUAGUCCACGCCCUAAACUAUGGAUACUCGACAUCAGCGAUACACUGUUGGUGUCUGAGCGAAAGCAUUAAGUAUCCCACCUGGGAAGUACGAUCGCAAGAUUG